rnacentral:rRNA from 1 species
CGAGCGUAAUCGGAAUUACUGGGCGUAAAGACGACGCGUAGGCGGUUAGUUUAAGUGAGGUGUGAAAUACCCUGGGCUCAACCUAGGAACCUAGCAUUUCAAACUGGAUAACUUGAGUAUGUCAGAGGGUAUUGGAAGUUUCCCCGUGUAGCAGUGAAAUGCGUAGAUAUGGGAAGGAACAUCAGUGGCGAAGGCGAAUACCUGGGAUAAUACUGACGCUGAGGUGCGAAAGCGUGGGGGAGCAAACGGGAUUAGAUACCCCUGGUAG